UCUAAAUCAAUGCCAAUGCAUGCACAUGCACAAGUCUGAACUAAACAAUAUAUAUGAUAUAGCAUAAUUAUAUGAUCUAAAAUAGAUGCAUGAUCAAGGGAGGAAGAUGGUGAAGCCAAAGAUGAGCAACUGAGAUUGGGGACCAACGACCGGCGAGCAGCAGCCCAUAGUGAUGGCCGGCUCCAUUCGACCAUGACGCAAGCAACGCCGGAGCUCCGGCCUGGCUGCUCCUUCCCCAUGCCCGUCCUACUCAUCCUCCCGUGCUUCUCCACACCAAGCAUGAAGACCACACCAGCCAGGCUCUCUUAUGGCGACGACCUGCGCCCGAUCCAGAAUCACGAUAUGUGGCAGCGCAGAUCGAGAACGCGGGGAGACGCUGUCCUGUGGGGAAGAGAAAGAGGAUAACAUGGUAUAAAAUAAAGUAGUCAUUUUUCAUGUAGUGAAACUUUAGUUUUGGGCAAGAUGAUCAAAAAUAAAAAUAUAACUAAUGCAACAGGAGAACCACAUAUGGAGGCACUCAAGUGGACAGACACAACAGUUCAAACAAACCCAAAAAUAUCUCAUUGUUCACCUUAAACCUUCGGAAGUUUAAACUGCUAGUUGAACUGAAAGGCACCGUUGCUAGGUGACAAAAAAAUCAGUACGCUCUGCGGUAAUUUGAUAUGAUGAAAACCAGUUGGAUAAAGACCAAAAAAUGUUCAGCAAUAACAUGGAAACAUUUGAUGGCGUGUCUUUUUGAGCACAUAUACCUCACUUGCCUUCUUAUGCUUUCUCUUCUUCACAAAUAAAAUGCUAGAUCGCUUUCUCUGCUUCAUAAAUAAAGUGCCUGCUCACCAAUAGAUAUCAGACUUUUACCCUGCUACAUAUUUCUUAUGGAUGAGCUUUUACCAAUUGAAAUUCUGGAAGAGACUGCAAUCUUGGACAGUCGCAGUCG
rnacentral:lncRNA from 1 species